rnacentral:rRNA from 1 species
AACGAACGCUGGCGGCAGGCUGAACACAUGCAAGUCGAGCGCCCCGCAAGGGGAGCGGCAGACGGGUGAGUAACGCGUGGGAAUCUACCCAUCCCUACGGAAUAGCUCCGGGAAACUGGAAGUAAUACCGUAUACGCCCUACGGGGGAAAGAUUUAUCGGGGAUGGAUGAGCCCGCGUUGGAUUAGCUAGUUGGUGGGGUAAAGGCCUACCAAGGCGACGAUCCAUAGCUGGUCUGAGAGGAUGAUCAGCCACAUUGGGACUGAGACACGGCCCAAACUCCUACGGGAGGCAGCAGUGGGGAAUAUUGGACAAUGGGGGCAACCCUGAUCCAGCCAUGCCGCGUGAGUGAUGAAGGCCUUAGGGUUGUAAAGCUCUUUCACCGGGGAAGAUAAUGACGGUACCCGGAGAAGAAGCCCCGGCUAACUUCGUGCCAGCCGCCGCAGUAA